UUCAUUAUCAGUGGGAUAACGUCCUUUCUAGUUGAAUAUAUUACUUUAAAUUAAAUUUAAGAGUUUCUUUCAUCAUGUCAAAGCUUUUUUUUUUUUUUAAGCGUAGACGCACUUAAACUGCAACUGGGAAAACUUAAAAAAAAAAAUAAUAAUUAAAUAAAGAAAGCUACAGAAUAUUCACAGUACAAUAUUUUCAGGUCAGUACUUUAAAAUAGGCACUUUGAAUUCCCGGUAAAAGUUUCUUUUAGAUAAGAGUAAGGAGUGAUAGCUGCACAAGGUUCUAUCGUAUUUAAAGAUGAGGCAAGCCAA